rnacentral:rRNA from 1 species
GCAUUUUCUUUCACCGUAGCUUGCUACACCGGAAGAAAAUGAGUGGCGAACGGGUGAGUAACACGUGGGUAACCUGCCCAUCAGCGGGGGAUAACACUUGGAAACAGGUGCUAAUACCGCAUAAUUCCAUUUACCGCAUGGUAGAUGGAUGAAAGGCGCUUUUGCGUCACUGAUGGAUGGACCCGCGGUGCAUUAGCUAGUUGGUGGGGUAACGGCCUACCAAGGCUGCGAUGCAUAGCCGACCUGAGAGGGUGAUCGGCCACACUGGGACUGAGACACGGCCCAGACUCCUACGGGAGGCAGCAGUAGGGAAUCUUCGGCAAUGGACGCAAGUCUGACCGAGCAACGCCGCGUGAGUGAAGAAGGUUUUCGGAUCGUAAAACUCUGUUGUUAGAGAAGAACAAGGAUGAGAGUGGAAAGUUCAUCCCUUGACGGUAUCUAACCAGAAAGCCACGGCUAACUACGUGCCAGCAGCCGCGGUAAUACGUAGGUGGCAAGCGUUGUCCGGAUUUAUUGGGCGUAAAGCGAGCGCAGGCGGUCUUUUAAGUCUGAUGUGAAAGCCCCCGGCUUAACCGGGGAGGGUCAUUGGAAACUGGGAGACUUGAGUGCAGAAGAGGAAAGCGGAAUUCCAUGUGUAGCGGUGAAAUGCGUAG